CACUAUAAUUUGCUUGGGUUGGAGAUUCAGUCCCAGAUAAUGCGUACAAAGUCCGACUAUAGGAGGUUUUGUAUGCCUUAUCUGGAAUUGAUCACAACCUUUAUGCAGAA
rnacentral:pre_miRNA from 1 species